rnacentral:rRNA from 1 species
UACGAAGGGAGCUAGCGUUGUUCGGAAUGACUGGGCGUAAAGGGCGCGUAGGUGGUUACGCAAGUCUUGUGUGAAAGCCCCGGGCUUAACCUGGGAACUGCACAGGAGACUGCGUGGCUAGAGUACAGAAGGGGAAACUGGAAUUGCGAGUGGAGAGGUGAAAUUCGUAGAGAUUCGCAAGAACACCAAUGGCGAAGGCAUGUUUCUGGUCUGUUACUGACACUGAGGCGCGAAAGCGUGGGGAGCAAACAGG